rnacentral:rRNA from 1 species
CCUACGGGGGGCAGCAGUGGGGAAUAUUGGACAAUGGGCGAAAGCCUGAUCCAGCCAUGCCGCGUGUGUGAAGAAGGCCUUCGGGUUGUAAAGCACUUUCAGUGGGGAAGAAAGCCUUGGGGCUAAUACCCUCGAGGAAGGACAUCACCCACAGAAGAAGCACCGGCUAACUCCGUGCCAGCAGCCGCGGUAAUACGGAGGGUGCGAGCGUUAAUCGGAAUUACUGGGCGUAAAGCGCGCGUAGGCGGUCUGAUAAGCCGGUUGUGAAAGCCCCGGGCUCAACCUGGGAACGGCAUCCGGAACUGUCAGGCUAGAGUGCAGGAGAGGAAGGUAGAAUUCCCGGUGUAGCGGUGAAAUGCGUAGAGAUCGGGAGGAAUACCAGUGGCGAAGGCGGCCUUCUGGACUGACACUGACGCUGGGUGCGAAAGCGUGGGUAGCAAACAGGAUUAGAUACCCCUGUAGUC